rnacentral:tRNA from 1 species
ACUUAAAUAGCUUAUUUAAUAGAGUAUGAUAUUGAAGAUAUCAGGGAAACCUUUUGGUUUUUAAGUA